rnacentral:rRNA from 1 species
AUUGAACGCUGGCGGCAGGCCUAACACAUGCAAGUCGAGCGGAUGAAGGGAGCUUGCUCCUGGAUUCAGCGGCGGACGGGUGAGUAAUGACUAGGAAGCUGCCUGGUAGUGGGGGAUAACGUCAGGAAACGGGCGCUAAUACAGCAUACGUCAAGAGGGAGAACGGGAGGGUUCUUCAGACCUCACGCUACCAGAUGAGACUAGGUCGUAUUAGCUAGUUGGUGGGGUAAAGGCCUACCAAGGCGACGAUCCGUAACUGAUCUGAGAGGAUGAUCAGUCACACUGGAACUGAGACACGGUCCAGACUCCUACGGGAGGCAGCAGUAGGGAAUAUUGGACAAUGGGCGAAAGCCUGAUCCAGCCAUGCCGCGUGUGUGAAGAAGGUCUUCGGAUUGUAAAGCACUUUAAGUUGGGAGGAAGGUCAGUAAGUGAAUCCCUUGCUGUUUUGACGGUACCAACAGAAUAAGCACCGGCUAACUUCGUG